UCUUCGUUGAAAUCUGCGGCCCAAGGUGGUGACACACGGGCCCAAGGGGACAUUACGCAAGGUGAACCGUCUCCGCUUGCUGGACCGCAGCUCAUGGUCGAGGUUGAGACGCUGCUGAACCGUUGGUUGGUUAGGUUUGUAUUGAUGAUGAUGGGGGCCACGGGAAAAAAAAGAACCGUUGGUUGGUUAGGUUUGUGUUGAUGAUGAUGGGGUCCACGGGAGGGAAUAUUCCGUCGUGGUCGGCUCUCAAGAUGUCGCCAAAUUUAGGCCUUGGUUUGUGGACAUUAUCGGUGAUGAUCUCGUGGCGAUGGUGAUUGUUGUUAUAUGGAUCGGUUUGGA
rnacentral:lncRNA from 1 species